rnacentral:rRNA from 1 species
UACGUAGGGGGCGAGCGUUAUCCGGAAUUAUUGGGCGUAAAGAGCGCGCAGGUGGUUGAUUAAGUCUGAUGUGAAAGCCCACGGCUUAACCGUGGAGGGUCAUUGGAAACUGGUCGACUUGAGUGCAGAAGAGGGAAGUGGAAUUCCAUGUGUAGCGGUGAAAUGCGUAGAGAUAUGGAGGAACACCAGUGGCGAAGGCGGCUUCCUGGUCUGUAACUGACACUGAGGCGCGAAAGCGUGGGGAGCAAACAGGAUUAGAUA